rnacentral:ncRNA from 1 species
AAGCGCCAGAACCGCUCCGGCGGUUGACGAGGUGGGAGGUUAAUCGAAACUGUUCGGCGGGUGCCUCCCCGUUUUGCUUCCGAGCGCAGCCAUCCUGAAAACUUCCGGGCAACCGGAUCGACAGG